UGGAUAGUGAGUAAAGCGGUGA
rnacentral:miRNA from 1 species